CCCUGCAAAUAUAGAAUAUUUGGUUUUGGUCCUUAGUAUUUUGUUUUAAUCCUUGUAAAAUCAUUUCAUAUUGAAAUUAGUCCCUAUAAUAUUCAUUUUAGUCCUCAUUUUGAGGGACUAAAAUCAAAUAUUCUACAUAUUACAAGGACUAAAACAAAAUACCAAUGACCAAAACCAAAAUUUUUAUAUUUGCAGUGA
rnacentral:pre_miRNA from 1 species